UACAGAGGUCUCGAGCGUUGUUCGGAUUCAUUGGGCGUAAAGGGCGCGUAGGCGGCGGGGUAAGUCUGGUGUGAAAUCUCGGAGCUCAACUCCGAAAUUGCACUGGAUACUGCUCUGCUAGAGGGCUGGAGAGGAGAUCGGAAUUCACGGUGUAGCAGUGAAAUGCGUAGAUAUUCGCAAGAACACCAGUGGCGAAGGCGGCUCACUGGCCCGAUACUGACGCUGAGGCACGAAAGCGUGGGGAGCAAACAGG
rnacentral:rRNA from 1 species